ACCUAGCUCUUCCCCUGCGUAAGGGAUCGCAAUGGAAAGCCCGGAAGGAGGCGCGAUCCGCCUCGGCGGAUCGCGGCGACUGAGGACUUGUAAUGAAGAGCCCGACCCGAU
rnacentral:misc_RNA from 1 species